rnacentral:rRNA from 1 species
UGCGUAGGCGGCACGUUAAGUCAGUGGUGAAAGCCUCCCGCUCAACGGGAGAAAUGCCAUUGAUACUGGCGUGCUUGAGUACGGACGAGGUAGGCGGAAUUUAUGGUGUAGCGGUGAAAUGCAUAGAUACCAUAAAGAACACCGAUAGCGUAGGCAGCUUACUAGACCGUAACUGACGCUGAGGCACGAAAGCGUGGGGAGCGAACAGGAUUAGAUACCCUGGUAGUCC